UAGUUUGCGAAGCAGGUGUGUAUGGUUUGGCAUGCAUUGAAUAAACAUGUCCUCUAAUCCCAGGAGGCUGAGGCAGGAAGAUCGCAAGUGCAAGACUGAAGCGAACCUCAGCAGCUUGGUGAGCCCCUGUCUCAAAACAAAAAAUAGAGGUGUAGGGAUGUAGUUCAGUGGUAGGACUGAAAUACAUUGGACUGGGUCCAAUCCCCAGUACCAAAAAACAAAAAUAUUCUUGUGGAAAAGCAUUUCCAUUCCCUUGAUUUUUGUCUGCUCCCCAGUUUACGACCACUUUCAAUUUCGCGACUAUAGGAAAAAGCUUCAGACUUUGGUGUCUGGCUUAAUUUUCCUGCUCAACCUCCCUCUCCAACAUCACCUAACCUGCCUCUUCCGCUUCCUGAAAGGUAAGUGGGGCUUCUGGCAGCUGUUCCCUGCCGACACAAGAAACUUUUGACAGGGCCAAACACUGGUGCAAGCUUUGAAUUCUGUCCAGUGAGCCAAAUAUACGUCCUCACCUGCCUCCAUACUUCUUGACCAAUUUACAGAACCAUCCAACCCUUAUAACGCCCUUUUCUCACCUCCCAUUAUGACUAAAGCCACUCCGUUCUCAACUGAUAAACAGUGGGCUUACUGAAUAAAGGACGGUAUUUGGGAUCACCGACUUGAGUUCCAAUUUCUGACACGCCUUGGGGAAAAUUACCUAACCAUGUUUUCCCGCAUAUACAAACUGAGGUAGCAAUGCCCGCCUCGUAAGUUUGUUGUAGAUUAAAUAAUGUCUGUGAAAGCACCUGGCGAGAGGGGGGAUUGAACUGCCAUUAACACAUCACAAGGGAGAUAGUGAAUUGCUCUACUAAGUUCACCCAAGAUGGGGUAGUUUGCAGGGGGCUUUUCUCCCUACCCCUCCCCUCCACACACUGCAGUUUGAACCAGGGGCACUCUACCACUGAGCUAACCCACAUUCCUUCCUAUUUUUUUUGAGACAGGGUCUUGAUAAAUUACUGAGGCUGGCCUCUGGAGUCGCUUAGAUUAAAAGACUGUAACACCA
rnacentral:lncRNA from 1 species